AGUUCUGCGGGUCAGCUCAGUUGGUCGUUAACUAUAGUUAGUGAUGGAUGUGGAAGCCAAGUAGACACACCCUUUCACGGUGUCUGUACACGGGAUUUACUUUAGUCUUGGACCAUGUUCACAAAUAAUACUUGUUGAUUGCUCAAUAAUCUAUUAGUUUGGCCCUAUUAAACCUCCGGGAGUUGAUUAGCUUUGAGGCCAACGUUAAUGUAGUGGAGGGUGUUUUAUGUGUGAGUGUGACAAACAUCUGAGGUGUAACUACACAUAAUAAACAUGUGUACGGCCUAAUCGUAAGGACUCGAUACUGACUAACAUUAACGUGGUUAUCUCUUGAAAGCUUAAUUGUGAAAAUUUGUGUGUUAUCAGUGUACUUGAAAGACUCGUUUCGUGUCUAGCAAGAUCCUAAAAGUGCACGUUUCGGGUAUAAGUUAAGAAUAAGUAAACAUCAGGCAGAAAACAUUCCUAAUAUUGUAAGUGACUAAUUGUUGACCAAGGAGUGUUCAGUAUUUACUAAUAAUCAACGGAAGAAAAGCCUUUACUAUUGUGGCAUACCGACACCUCCGUUCGUCAUCCAGUGUUUCUUGUCUAGUGUUUAAGACGUGUUGAGAGAUAGUCGUGAGUGCUGGAUGAUAAUUCCAGAGUGAAAAUCACACGCAUGUGUGUAGAGGCGUGUCUCAGACAGUGUUGGACCAUCCCACACCUGUCGGACCUCACACCCAGCGCCGCCUCCUUCACCACAAGGUGGUAGUCGUAGCGCUGCUGCUGCUGGUGCUGCUGUCCGCCGCACCCUCCUCACAGUUCUUCCUGAAGAAACGCGGCCGGUAUCGUCUGCGUAUUCAACGGCCGACUGAAUCGAAUAAAAGAGAUCAAAGGUUUGGUCCAGGUCCUAUUGGGUUCAGAGGUGGGAGGUGAGAACCUAGUCCAGGCUCUUCCCUACAUUCCAGCUUCAGUUAGCUGUCUACCGUCAACGGACCUUCAAUAGUGUGUCCAUCAGAUCUUGAUCCAAUUUUCACCCAUUGACAUUAUUUUCACACAUCACAAAUCGACAGUCUUUAUAAUCGUAUAAUUUCACAUAUUCAACAUCUUCAAUUUGUUAUUUAAAAUUAAAACAGAAGAUCAUAAUGUUUUAAGUAUUAGGAAAUAUAUAAUAAAAUUGUGGUGAUUAAAAGAUAGAACUUUUGUCUUUCCAACUACAACAAACUAAUGAAUUUAAUAAUUAAUUUGCACAAUAAAAUUAUUUGUACAGUAAUCCAAACAAAACUGCAAAAACAAUGCAUUUAUAUAUUUUUUUUUGUUUAAAUUGUUCUUACAGUAAACUCAUUCAAGUCCCAAAGAUUAAAUAUCAGUUAAGAACAAUGAAUAAAUGUUACAAAAUUACAUGUUUGUGAAAAUCAGUAAAGGAUUUUGUGUUAAUGUUUUCAGUCAAGGGACUUUUGUAGGGUUAUCAUGAGGGGUAUUUCUCGUUGAUAUUUUUGUAUCGAUUUUCUUGUAUGGAGGAACUUUUGUAAUGGUUUUAUUUUAAGGGUCUUCUGUAUGAGGGGCUUUUUGCUUUGGUCGUUUUUGAAUUAAGGAUCUUUUGUGUAGAGGGACUUUUUUGUGGCUGUUUUUGUA
rnacentral:lncRNA from 1 species